GGCAUGGCGGCGGUGUGAGGGCUCCGCGGGGCUUGGAGGAGAAUUUACACAAACCCGCCCCGCUGUCACAUUCUCACCUGCCCAAUGCACAAUUACCUGUGUGACCCGAGCUGACUCAGUGGAAAAUUGACUUUAUCCUUGAAAAAAGCUCUUUUAUCAAGCGUCUGUUAUUGCAAAAGUUUCCUGAUGCCUCAGUUCCGUUUGCAAAGUUUCAGCUCUUUCGUGUCCUGCCCCUGUGGAACUCCCCUGCUCAGGGAGCAGAGCAGCUGCACUUAAACACUGCCCUGUCCCUAAUGAACUGCUAAUUAAUGCUGGUUAUCAUUUAUUACUGGCUUGUAAUAAAGCCUGCAACACCACAUUUACA